CUUGAACGCUGGCGGCAGGCCUAACACAUGCAAGUCGAACGAGUGGCGGACGGGUGAGUAAUGUCUGGGAAACUGCCUGAUGGGGGGGGAUAACUACUGGAAACGGUAGCUCAUACCGCAUAACAUACAAUCUUCCCAGAUGGGAUUAGCUUGUUGGUGGGGUAAAGGCGCACCAAGACGACGAUCCCUAGCUGGUCUGAGAGGAUGACCAGCCACACUGGAAAUGAGACACGGUCCAGACUCCUACGGUAGGCAGCAGUGGUGAAUAUUGCACAAUGGGCGCAAGCCUGAUGCAGCCAUGCCGCGUGUAUGAAGAAGGCCUUCGGGUUGUAAAGUACUUUCAGCGGGGAGGCGUUACCCGCAGAAGAAGCACCGGCUAACUCCGUGCCAGCAGCCGCGGUAAUUC
rnacentral:rRNA from 1 species